GUUCGUCUUCAGGGCAGGGUGCAAUUCCCGACCGGCGGUGACAGUCCGCGACCCGCAUGUUGUGUGCGGCUGACAAGGUGUGAAUCCUUGACCGAUAGUACAGUCUAGAGUAAAGAAGAUAGCG
rnacentral:ncRNA from 2 species